rnacentral:rRNA from 1 species
UACGUAGGGUGCGAGCGUUGUCCGGAAUUACUGGGCGUAAAGAGCUCGUAGGUGGUUUGUCGCGUUGUUCGUGAAAACUCACAGCUCAACUGUGGGCGUGCGGGCGAUACGGGCAGACUGGAGUACUGCAGGGGAGACUGGAAUUCCUGGUGUAGCGGUGAAAUGCGCAGAUAUCAGGAGGAACACCGGUGGCGAAGGCGGCUCACUGGCCCGAUACUGACGCUGAGGCACGAAAGCGUGGGGAGCAAACAGG